rnacentral:rRNA from 1 species
UACGGGGGAUGCGAGCGUUAUCCGGAUUUAUUGGGUUUAAAGGGUGCGUAGGCGGAUCGUUAAGUCAGUGGUCAAAUUGAGGGGCUCAACCCCUUCCCGCCAUUGAAACUGGCGAUCUUGAGUGGAAGAGAAGUAUGCGGAACGCGUGGUGUAGCGGUGAAAUGCAUAGAUAUCACGCAGAACCCCGAUUGCGAAGGCAGCAUGCCGGCUUCCUACUGACGCUGAAGCACGAAAGCGUGGGGAUCGAACAGG